rnacentral:rRNA from 1 species
UGCAAGUCGAGCGAGAGUAGCAAUACUCGAGCGGCGGACGGGUGAGUAACGCGUGGGCAAUCUGCCCUCUAGCCUGGGAUAACAGUUCGAAAGGACUGCUAACACCGGAUAUGCUCCCACCCUGGCAUCAGGGAGAGAGAAAAGUUUACACUAGAGGAUGAGCCCGCGUCCCAUUAGCUAGUUGGUGAGGUAACGGCCCACCAAGGCGACGAUGGGUAGCCGACCUGAGAGGGUGAACGGCCACACUGGGACUGAGACACGGCCCAGACUCCUACGGGAGGCAGCAGUAGGGAAUUUUCCGCAAUGGGCGAAAGCCUGACGGAGCAACGCCGCGUGAGGGAUGAAGGUUUUCGGAUCGUAAACCUCUGUCUUCAGGGACGAUAAUGACGGUACCUGAGGAGGAAGCCACGGCUAACUACGUGCCAGCAGCCGCGGUAAUACGUAGGUGGCAAGCGUUGUCCGGAAUUACUGGGCGUAAAGGGCGUGUAGGCGGCCUUUUAAGUCAGGCGUGAAAUCCAUGGGCUUAACCCAUGAAUUGCGUUUGAAACUGGAGGGCUUGAGGAUCGGAGAGGGCAGUGGAGUUCCCAGUGUAGCGGUGAAAUGCGUAGAUAUUGGGAGGAACACCAGUGGCGAAGGCGACUGCCUGGACGACACCUGACGCUGAGGCGCGAAAGCUAGGGGAGCAAACGGGAUUAGAUACCCCGGGUAGUCCUAGCCGUAAACGAUGGGUACUAGGUGUGGGAGGUAUCGACCCCUUCCGUGCCGCAGUUAACACAAU